rnacentral:lncRNA from 1 species
CUCUUCCCCCUCGGGGCCUAGAGGAGGCCACGCGCGGGGUCUCCGAGCUCUAGGGUCCGGAGCUCUAGGGUCCUUUUAUGUAGCAAAGUCAGGCCUGGGAACAGAACUUCAUGUGCUUGUAAAAAGUCUCAGGUGCGUCCUCGUUGUUUUAGAGACUUGGAGAGGAAUGGGGGCGGGGGGAACAAAAUCCGAGGACAGUCGAGCCAAGAAAAGUCGGGGCUUCUAGGAUGCCAACCACGCCAAACAGAUCAAAACCAGGACUGGAGGACUGAAGAUGAAGCCGGCAAAAAGUCACCAGCCACGGCUCUUGUAAGGUAUGCUUCACCUCUCCUGCUAAGUCUUCAUCCCUGUCUAUGAGGACAAAGAAGUUACGGGUUAAAUUGGCGAUGGGCCAGGCGCUCCUUGAGGAUGCUCUAAAGAGGACCUGGGUUCGAUUCCUAGCACUGACAUUGUGACUCACAGCCUCCUGUAAUUUCAGUUCCAGGGAAUCUGAUGCCUUCUUCUAACCAUCACGAAGACAAGUUGGUGAUAGAAAAUGGGAGAACUGAAGACAACCACUUUAUAAAACCCUUGCCUGCUUGAAUUUGUGGUGAUGAGCUGUCAGAAGACACCGGCACAGGAAGUGAAGGGGCAGGAUCGCCACUCCUCCCAGUUUGCUCUGAACUGUGAGCCCCACUGAAAGGGUCAGCUUUCUUUGGUGCUCUGGCUCAGACAGCACUGUCACGAACCGGCCCCUGGGAUUUGCUGCUCAGAACCUGAGUUCACUGAGACAUCAGGAGCAAGCACUGGAGGCCGGGUGCUGCUGGAUCCUGAUGGGAGCCAUGCAGGACUUGACCAUGGCCUGCACACACUUCUUCCCAGGAGAAGGGGAAUGAGGAAGGACUGGCCCCUGGGAUUUGCUGCUCAGUUCACUGAGACAUCAGGAGCAAGCACUGGAGGCCGGUGCUGCUGGACCCAGAUGGGAGCCAUGCAGGACUUGACCAUGGCCUGCAUACACUUCUUCCCAGGAGAAGGGGAAUGAGGAAGGCAGACUGGCAUCACAGGACAUUUUAGAGCAUUACUGUACACCCUGGUGACUGAGGUCCAUUAUCAAGUGUGCAGCGGUGCUGAGGUCCAGGGACAGGAAGCAGAAGGGCGGGUUCCAGCCCGCUCAGCUGGCCAUGAACUGGACGAUGAAUUUUAACCUCCACACCACAAGCACUGGGGUAGAAGACUGCUGCUGGGUGAAGAAGAGACUAGACUUGAUCAUUGAGCAGCCACUCACUGAUAUCUUCAGUGCUGCAUGAGGAAGAACCGGCCCCUGAGAUUUGCUGCUCAGAACCUGAGUUCACUGAGACAUAGGGAGCAAGCACUGGAGAUCCGGUGCUGCUGGACCCAGAACCGGCCCCUGGGAUUUGCUGCUCAGAACCUGAGUUCACUGAGACAUCAGGAGCAAGCACUGGAGGUCGGGUGCUGCUGGACCCAGGUGGGCGCCAUGCAGGACUUGACCAUGGCCUGCACACACUUCUUCCCAGGAGAAUGGGAGUGAGGAAGAACCGGCCCCUGGGAUUUGCUGCUCAGAACCUGAGUUCACUGAGACAUCAGGAGCAAGCACUGGAGGCCAGGUGCUGCUGGACCCAGAUGGGAGCCAUGCAGGACUUGACCAUGGCCUGCACACACUUCUUCCCAGGAGAAGGGGAAUGAGGAAGGACUGGCCCCUGGGAUUUGCUGCUCAGGACCUGAGUUCACUGAGACAUCAGGAGCAAGCACUGGAGGCUGGGUGCUGCUGGACCCAGAUGGGAGCCAUGCAGGACUUGACCAUGGCCUGCACACACUUCUUCCCAGGAGAAGGGGAAUGAGGAAGAACUAGAUCCUAAGAGCAGAAGACAAUCAUAUGUCCUGAGAACCCAUUGGAGGUUGAACAGCGCUGGGUGGAUGGAGAAAGGCAGAAAUGCAGAAUUUCGUCAUUGCCUGGAUGCUGACUUUAUCCAAAGAGAAGAUGCAUGAGGAGUGUACAUGCCUCAGAACUGGAUGCUGAGACAUGCCCCCGCGAUCCCAAGACCACCAGGUACCGUGAGCAAUCACUGGAGCUGGAACACUGCUGCCUGAGGAAGAGAAGAAGUGCAGGCUUGUCAUUGUCUAUGCUGUUACUUGUGGUUCCCGGGUCUUCAGAGAGGAUGCACAAGAACGGGAGAACCGGCCCCUGGGAUUUGCUGCUCAGGACCCGAGUUCACUGAGACAUCAGGAGCAAGCACUGGAGGCCGGUGCUGCUGGAUCCAGAUGGGAGCCAUGCAGGACUUGACCAUGGCCUGCACACACUUCUUCCCAGGAGAAGGGGAAUGAGGAAGGCAGACUGGCAUCACAGGACCCUUCAGAGUAUUAAUGCAGACCUUCGUGACAGAGGUCCAGUACCAAGUGCUCAGCGGUGCUAAGGUCCAGGGACAGGAGGCAGAAGGGCGGGUUCCAGCCCGCUCAGCUGGCCAUGAACCGGCCCCUGGGAUUUGCUGCUCAGGACCCGAGUUCAGUGAGACAUCAGGAGCAAGCACUGGAGGCCGGUGCUGCUGGACCCAGAUGGGAGCCAUGCAGGACUUGACCAUGGCCUGCACACACUUCUUCCCAGGAGAAGGGGAAUGAGGAAGAACUGGACCAGAAGAUUUAACUUCCAUACCACAAGCACUGGGGUAGAAGACUGCUGCUGGGUGAAGAAGAGACUAGACUUGAUCAUUGAGCAGCCACUCACUGAUAUCUUCAGUGCUGCAUGAGGAAGAGUUUAUUCUUCUGGAUUUGGUGGUGGAUUCUGGUGAAGAUACAGAUGGAUGCUCUGGCUGAGUCGCUACCUUGAAAUGAAAAUGGGAGGUAAACUCUCCCAUAGAUGAAUCUUCUUCAUUUUGAAGGACUGGCCCCUGGGAUUUUCUGCUCAGGACCCGAGUUCACUGAGACAUCAGGAGCAAGCACUGGAGGCCGGUGCUGCUGGACCCAGAUGGGCGCCAUGCAGGACUUGACCAUGGCCUGCACACACUUCUUCCCAGGAGAAGGGGAAUGAGGAAAGUGGGGGGCCUCAAAGCUUCCUUUCCUUUCUGUUUGUCUUGCUAUGUUUUUAUAUUCCUUUUUAUCCAUUUAAUUAUUUAGUACAAAAUCAGGUCCAGUCUCCUUAGAUAUGGCAUUGAUAUAAAGUGUAAAAUGGAAGCUAAAUUCUAGGAGUACAGCAUUGCAUGCUUCUGACAGAGACAAGGAAGGCUAGAAUCACACAGUUAGUGGACACUGCAACUAUAUUGACAUUUUUUUUUUUUUAGACUGUGAAGGUGGGGACAGAUUGCUGCACUCAGAACACCUUCCCUGCUCUGGGGAAACAAACACUGUCAUCAUGGGGAAAAUGUUUCCUGUAGACCCACACAAGCACACACCCCUCCUCCUACAUCCAGCUUCUCCUCAGCCAUUUUGAAGCAGGGAAGAUCAGGGGGAUUCAUGAAUGGCGAAAUUUGGCCUUUUUUAGUGUAUUUCUCUCCUUCUGUAGGCAGACUGGCAUCACCUGACCCUUCAGAGUAUUAACUCAGACCCUGGUGACUGAGGUCCAGUACCAAGUGCUCAGCUGGGCUGCGGUGCAGGGACAGGAAGCAGAAGGGCAGAUUCAACCCCCCUCAGCUGGCCAUGCUAAUCUACUAGCUGGUGUCCUAGGGCAGCAAGGCGCCUCCCUCUCCAGGAUCUGAUGAGAAAACACUGCAGUUCCAGUUUCUUUCGGGGCUUGAAGAGAAGUCAAGGAAGCCCUGCAAGGCACUCACAGCUGAUCAUGCUUUCUGUAAUCGCCCUCCAUCUUCCUUCAUUGCUAGGAAUCAUUGGAAGGACAACAGCGGAGCUGUGAGUUUUGAAACCGCGUCCUCAUGGGGGCAGUAGAGGUCCACACAAGAGCUUAACUGGCCCCUGGGAUUUGCUGCUCAGAACCUGAGUUCACUGAGACAUCAGGAGCAAGUACUGGAGGCCGGUGCUGCUGGACCCAGAUGGGAGCCAUGCGGGACUUGACCAUGGCCUGCACACACUUCUUCCCAGGAGAAGGGGAGUGAGGAAGAACCGGCCCCUGGGAUUUGCUGCUCAGGACCCGAGUUCACUGAGACAUCAGGAGCAAGCACUGGAGGCCGGGUGCUGCUGGACCCAGAUGGGAGCCAUGCAGGACUUGACCAUGGCCUGCACACACUUCUUCCCAGGAGAAGGGGAAUGAGGAAGAAAGGCUCAUGGCGUCUAUGUCGUAAAUGAGCUGUGGAUUUGCUAUGCCCCUUCUCUUCAGCAACCCUUAUUUUUCUUGCCUGUACAUCUCUACUGUGGGAAUCACAGGGAAGCUGCUGCAGCACAACUUGAAAUAGAAAGCUGGAUGGUAUGAAUUUAGGACAAGAACAUGAGAAGAAGGGCUCCAGAGAGGAUUCAUUAAGAGCAUUUUCUGCUCUUCCAGAAGCAUCCGAGUUUGGUGUGGGCACCCAAGUCAUUAGGCUCAGAGCUGCUUGGCACCAGGAGAUGUCAGGAAGCUGGUAUAAAUCCUCAUGGGACUUGAAGGGCGAGUGGCCUGAAGUGGGUCACAAGUGAUCAGGGAUUCUCAAACUGCUGUUCCCAGCUUGCAUUUAAAAAUGGGAAAUAACUCAAAAGACAAUUGCAAACUCUCUGCAGUCAAGAUGGCUCCUGCUUGUAAUCUCAGUGUUCAGAAGGUAGGAAAGGACUACUGUGAGCACCAGGUCAGCCUGGACUAGAGAGAAGACUUUGUGUCAAAGAACGAAGUUUUAUAAAGGGCAGUCUUGUGGGGUAGAGGCAUGGCAGUAUACGAAGCACGUGUGCGUGUUUCUGUGUGUUUCUUGCUCUUGUCCAUGCUAGAAGCAGAACUUCAUUGUACCGUCACUGCUCCCACAGUACUAUACCUGCUGGAUCCAGAACUGCGGCAGGGUAAGACCAGCCAGGACAAGCCAGUGCCAGGUGGCACAGGUGUUUGGAAAAGGCCUGACGUGUACCCAACUGUGUGAAGGAAUGGGGGACCCAAAACACAGGGCAAAGAAUUAUGCUUCCAUCCACGAGAGCAAAGGUGUGGGGGGGGGGGCUGGGGGGGAUAGAUUCCAUAUGAACAUUUUGAAGAUGUGUAAUUGGAACAAAAUUGAAUUUCAUAUAAGACAUAGUAGCAAGCUCCAUACAGUUUACUUUAUCGUAUCUUAAUGUCUUCUCAAGUAAAAUACAGAAGUCCAUAAAUUCAAAAUAUAUACUAAUAUGAAUAUAUGCCACAGUUUAAGGUGAUGACAAAGACUUUGUGUAAAGCUAUGUCUGUUAAUGUUGACGACUGUUAGAAUGUUUUUUAUGGGCAACAUGCAUAUCUAUUUUAUAAUUUAAUAACUAAAGGGGUGUUCAUGAAAAUCUUGAGUGUAUGAGAAUGCUGUAGCUAUGUACCGAAAGCUCUCAGUGAGCACUGCUGGGUGAGACUAUAUUUGAGAAGCCAGGUUUAAACAUCUUUUGUUGAGGUUUUCUUUUUCCUAAUGGAUUUUGAAGAUGUGGUUUGCUUUUUCUAUUUAGAAUAGUCAUACUUAUAAAGUCCACCUAGGCUGGCCUAUAACUGGCAAUUCUCUCUCAGUCUGGUAUUAUAGAUAUGCAAAGUUAAGCAUUAAACAACAAAAAUUAUGUAGAGAUCUUCUCUCAAAAACACUAAGAAAAUCAUAACUUCUGAGUAGUUAUGAUUUUGAGAUUCCUCCCUAUACAUUUUUAUAUGUGAUUCCUCAUAUUAAUUUUAUAUGUAUUAUACACAAAAUACAUUCAAGUACUUUUAUCUAUAGAUGAAUAAAUAUAAAUAAAAACCUUAAUAAUUUGCCAUAAAUAAA